GUGGGGAAUCUUAGACAAUGGGGGAAACCCUGAUCUAGCCAUGCCGCGUGAGCGAUGAAGGCCUUAGGGUUGUAAAGCUCUUUCAGCUGGGAAGAUAAUGACUGUACCAGCAGAAGAAGCCCCGGCUAACUCCGUGCCAGCAGCCGCGGUAAUACGGAGGGGGCUAGCGUUGUUCGGAAUUACUGGGCGUAAAGCGCACGUAGGCGGACCGGAAAGUCAGAGGUGAAAUCCCAGGGCUCAACCCCGGAACUGCCUUUGAAACUCCCAGUCUUGAGUUCGAGAGAGGUGAGUGGAAUUCCGAGUGUAGAGGUGAAAUUCGUAGAUAUUCGGAGGAACACCAGUGGCGAAGGCGGCUCACUGGCUCGAUACUGACGCUGAGGUGCGAAAGCGUGGGGAGCAAACAGGAUUAGAAACCCGUGUAGUCC
rnacentral:rRNA from 1 species